CUUCAAGGCUUCCUCUUUAGAAGGUUCUUUAGAUACAGCGACUGUUCCCGCCAGUCCCACAGAUCAAAGACAAACUGAAUGAUAACCAGGAAGUGGAAGACGAGAUUAUCUGGGAGGAAUUCACCGCAGAGGAAGGUAAAGGUUACCGUGAAGAGGUGUUGACCGUGAAGGAAAUUACCUGAGGCCCGGAGGGUGAAGGAAUGGCGUGGACAUCUCCGCCUCCGAGACACUGGGGAACUGUUUUCUUGUUGAUGAUGCCGUGAGCCUUUAUAUCAUUUUCUACGUUUUUAUUUAAAGACAUGAUGUUUGGGUCCAGGCACGGUAGCUCACGCCUGUCAUCCCGGCACUUUGGGAGGCCGAGGCAGGUGGAUCACUUGAG